rnacentral:rRNA from 1 species
GCCAGACUCCUACGGGAGGCAGUAGUGGGGGAUAUUGCACAAUGGGGGGAACCCUGAUGCAGCGACGCCGCGUGGGUGAAGAAGCGCCUCGGCGCGUAAAGCCCUGUCAGCAGGGAAGAAAAUGACGGUACCUGAAGAAGAAGCCCCGGCUAACUACGUGCCAGCAGCCGCGGUAAUACGUAGGGGGCAAGCGUUAUCCGGAUUUACUGGGUGUAAAGGGGGCGCAGACGGCGAUGCAAGCCAGGAGUGAAAGCCCGGGGCCCAACCCCGGGACUGCUCUUGGAACUGCGUGGCUGGAGUGCAGGAGGGGCAGGCGGAAUUCCUGGUGUAGCGGUGAAAUGCGUAGAUAUACGGAGGAACACCAGUGGCGAAGGCGGAUUGCUGGACAGUAACUGACGCUGAGGCGCGAAAGCGUGGGGAGCAAACAGGAUUAGAUACCCGCGUAAUA